GCCGUGAUAGCUCAGUUGGGAGAGCGUAAGACUGAAGAUCUUAAAGUCCCGUGUUCGAUCCACGGUCGCGGCA
rnacentral:tRNA from 1 species